rnacentral:rRNA from 1 species
AUGAGUUCUUAUCUCGUCUCCGCUCUGAGUUUGAGCCUCGCCGUGCUCACUUGCUUGCUCGUGGUCGUGUUCCUCUCUCGGAGGUGCUUGCCGAGCUUCGUGCUGAGGAGACCCGCCUUCGCUCUGCCGGGUUGCUGGCGGUUCCGUCUGUGUUGGCUGCUCGGGCUCCAGUGUCGGCUGCUCGGCUCACUGCUCCACCGCUCCUACCUACACCUUCAGGGGGUGGGUCGCCCUCCUUAUGCUGAGAAGGGCAGGUCGCGCCAUGACACGUUCUGUGGCUACUGCUCUCGGCUAGGUCACCCAGAGUCUGAUUGCCGUGAGAAGAAGCGAGACCGGAGGCGCUCCUCUCCCAGUGGGACUCCUGGAUCUACCUCGACUCCUUCACUUACUGACCAGGACAUUGUUCGGCUUAAACGCCUUCUGGCUUCCACCACUUCAUCACCAUCGGCAUCUACACCGUCAGGUACAUCUUCGUGGGUUUUGGACUCUGGAGCUUCCUUUCAUAUGUCCUCUGAUUCUUCAGCGUUGUCUUCUCUUCGCCCUCUUGAUUCUCCUAUUAAUGUUCUUACUGCCGAUGGCACAUCUCUUCCUGUUGCUAGUCGUGGUAUUCUUUCCACUCCAUUUUUUCUGUUCCUAGUGUUUCACAUGUUCCUCGCCUUACCAUGA